GAGUCCAGGCCCCAUCCAGACUCCUCUGCUCCUUGAACUUGCCCUCAAACCCAUGCUCAAUAUCAUCCAGGUAGAAUGCGCAGACUGCAGAUCCAGGAAUGCUGGGGAAGCCAGAAAGGAUUCAAGGACCCAGAAGAGCCUUCCAGCUACCCACCCUGGUGCCCAACUCCUUACCCUCCCCAGUCGGGCAUCCUCCACUGAGACCUCUCGGAAGAAGAAAUAGACGUGGUCUCCAUGCUCCAAAGCAUAGACAAAGGUAGGCUCUAAAGUAGGCGUGACAGGAAAGGGCAUCCAGACAUGCUCAGGGACUUGUGCCCUAUACUAUCUCCCCACCCAUCCAUACACUCCCUGCCACUGCCCCCACACAGUCCUGGUGUACCCCCAUGUGCAGGCUGACCCCCAGGACGACUGACCUCGCAACCACUUGGAGUCAUACUUGGCAGAACGGAGUGGCGGCUGAGGUCCAAGGCUUCUGUAAACUACAGCGUCACUGGCCUGGAAAUCCGCUGCAGUGGCUGAGUACAAACUGCCCUCUGGAGGGUUGAGGGGAUCGGGAUCAGGGGAAGCUCAAGAUCUGCACCCUGUCUCUUACUGGGGUACCCACACAGCUACUUAGGCCUGCAUCCUGUCUCUUACUGGGGUACCCACACAGCUACUUAGGCCUGGCCCCACCCCUCCUACCCUCCACUCAAGGACAUGGAGGAAGACCAAGUUGGGAGAGGAACUCCUUCCAGCCACAUGCCUGCUUCUCACAUGCCCAGGUGCACACCUGCAAAGAUGGCCACGUUUGAUUGGUUGGCAUCAAAGGGACAUCGAGCUUGCCCACUCAGCUCCUCACCCUCCUGCUGCAGCGAAGUUAUCUGGGGGCAGAGGAGGCAGGUUCCUGGAACCUCUCAGAAGUGUGGCCCCACAGCCCACUCCCCUCCCUCCCCUUCUGCACUCUCGCAAUCCAAGCCCAGAUGCUCAUCUCUUCCAGUCAGACUGAUUGCCUAUUUUGGAAUCUCCUCCCAGCCCUCUUCCUUUGUACCCCAUAGCUGCGGCACACGGGGCUGAAUGAGUUUGUUCCACAGGCAAGGAGUGUCUGCGAGUCCCAGGGAACAAGAACACGGAUGUAGUUGUAGCACUCGUCCUAGAAAACCCAAAAUUCUAGGUUAGUGACAAGCCUGGGACUGAAGUUAAGGGCCACAGGAAGUAAGGCAGUGACCAGUCUUGAGCCACAGCAAUGUGGCUAAAGUCUCAAGCUGUUUACUGGCCCUUUAGCCUUCACCAGGCUCUUUGGUUUCUCUGAGCCUCCUCCUCUUUUUGCUGGGGUGUGUAAAGGGAACUAGAAGGUGUGGAUUCUCUUUCCUUCCCUUGGUUGUCUGGCUGGCUUGGAGAGGGGAGGAAGGAAUGGUCGUGCUGGCCUUGCCUUCCCUCCAACUACACUCCCCUCCUCACCGUCAGCUUUCCCCGAACAGCACAGUUCUCCAUAUCUUGGCUCCUCCAUGUCAGAAACUGAAAAGAGAAAUAGAGGAGAGGUCAUGGAGCAACCAGGACCCCUCCUCACAUUAUGACUCCUUUUAGGUGCUUUUUCAACCCACAGAACCCCCAUUACACCUUUCCCAGCUUUGUCUCCCUGCCUGCACCUCCUCGCAUACAGCCCCUCACCUUGUUGGGCACCAGCCCCUCCCCUUCUUCUUGGGCUUGAAGAUCGAAGGAGAAAACGUGAUCCCUGAAGGGUAGGUAAGGAGGGGUCAGAGCUGAGCUGAGGCACCUGCCUGCCUGAGCUCCUUAGUCCCCUGCUUACCCAUGUUCACCUGCUUAGGGCCAAGCCACAAAGUUCCUGCUCCCUAGCCUCCCCCUUACUCCAUGCCUUGGCAUCUGUUCUCUGGGUCCAAGCAUGUCCAUGUCCCAUGGCUUGUGCACCUGCAUGUGUCCGCUGCAAGCUGCUGCAGUGGCCAUGCAGGUGCCAUGUCUGCCUAGGAGCAUGCAUGUCUGCCCCACAACUGUUCCUUGGCCAUUUUACCGGGCGGCCACAAGCAAGGUCCGGUUCAAGGUCAGGAAUCGCUGAAAAUCCAGCCCAAGUUCUGCAGCCACAGCAUCAUCCUCCAGGCCCCGGAACCAGGAUAACGGAGAAGUACCUAGAAGACGGCAGCUGAGAUAAUACACACUUUCCAACUCCCUUUCCUACCAGAGAAAAUCAAGCAAUGAACAGAGUAGGAGACAAGAGAGGCCCAAAAUCUAUCACUAAAACCAAUACCAUGGUGCAUACCAGCACUGGGGAGGCUGAGGCAGGAGGAAAGCUGAGAGCUCAAGGCCAGUCUUGGUUACAUAGCAAGAACCAAACCAGUAUACAAGGCAAGAUGCUGUCUCGAAAAAAAAGGGGGGGGGGGCGGACUCAAUGAAAUGGCUCUGAGAGUAAAGAUACUUGCAGCCAGGACUGACUACCUGAGUUCAAAUAGUGGAAGCAGAAAACCAAUUCCCCAAGUUGUCCUUUAAUCUCUACUCAGACACCAUGGCAUGUGCACCCCCCGCCCAUAGAUGUUAAAGAAACUAAUACAAAAACAACUUCAACUGAGCAUUUAACUUUAACCAGACACUGUGAGUUAUUUGAAUGAUAUGCCUUGCUUGAUAUUGGUCUCAUAUUCACACAGGCCCCAGUUCAAGGCUUGGCAAAUGGAGGGACUUACAUGACUACCAGGCAGGCAGCAGGGUUUAUAUCGAGUCUGUCUGACUCCAGAGUUAAGCUGAGUCCCUCCUUAGGACCACUUCUGUAUUAGAAAGUUCCUUUCAAGGGGCUGGAGAUGGCUCAGUGGUUAAGAGCAUGCACUGCUCUUCCAAAUGUCCAGAGUUCAAUUCCCAGCACCCACAUCAAUUGGCUCACAACUACCUUCGGUUCCAACUCCAGGAUACCUACAUCCUCUGACCUCCAUGAAAUUAAAACAUUCCAUCCUGCCAGGGAGCUCCUUAAGCAGGGAGGUAAAAAACUAAAAAAGAGGCCGGGCAGUGGUGGCGCACACCUUUAAUCCCAGCACUUGGGAGGCAGAGGCAGGUGGAUCUCUGUGAGGUCAACACCAGCUGAUCUACAAGAGCCAGUUCCAGGACAGCCUCCAAAAGCCACAGAGAAACCCUUUCUCGAAAAACAAAACAAAACAAAACAAACAAACAAACAAAAACAAAAAGAACCCCCUGAAACCAACCAGAUUCACUAAGGGCAGAGUAAAUAAUAAAGGCUCAGAGUCCCCCUCAGAGGAAGUGAAGCUGAGCUGCACAGAAUACUCUCAGAGAGAAAGAGAAGAAAAAACCUCCAAGACCAGACCAGCAAGAAGCAAAAACCAGCCAGGCUACUGAAAGAGACCACUGACACCUGGAAAGGACACUUUCCACACUGCUGUGCAGUGUGCUCCAGGUCCCCAGCUUUUGUGAGCUGUCAUCCCCCUGGGGUAGGCUUUGGUGACACAGCUGUCUUUGAGUCAUUUCUGCUCCAGUAAGUGACCCCUCACAUAUAUUCCUGUAAGCAACCCCAAUAAAACUCAUUGCCUUUCUGGGAUCUGUACUUUGGUCUGUCGUGGGCUCCCUGUCUGGGGUGAGUAAACAAGGGUUUGUCUUCCCAGGAAAAGUUUUCUCAUACAACAGCACCUGUACACACAUGUGUACAAUUAAAGCAUUUGUUUUUCUUCUUCCAGUCCUCCUUCAAGACUUUUUACCACUCCACCCUUCAAGGCUCCUCCUCUUCUGACCAACUCCAUUGUCCACCUGGCCUGGUCACAGAAGCCACAGGCAGACUCCUCCCCAGGACUAUCCCCAGAAGACCCUGCGGGGUGGGGCAAAAUAACCAUCUCUGCCUCACUCCCAGCCAGCUGUCACUGUCACUCAAGGCCCUUCUCUCUCCAACUGGCCCAAACUGGUUGGUGUGACGCCUGCCGGUGUGACCCCAGGUAAGGACAGAACAGAUCUGCUGCCACUCCCAGCCUUUCCUCCUCUCUCCUGCCUGGGUCUGGGACAUUCAGUAGGUGACACCUCCUGGCCCCCCUUGU